ensembl:lncRNA
UUUUCCCUGCAAAGGUUAGGCCCUCUAAGAUACCUGCAUUAUGGAAAUAUUAGGGCUUGCCUUUCACAGAGCUUAAACUCUAAACAGAAAGUAUUCUAUCUCCUCUUAGCCAUUAACAGAACAUAUGACUAAAGAAUUUAGAAUUUGUCUCAUCUUUGGACUUGACAUAAUAAAAGAGCUCUGAAGCAAAAUAAUUUAUCUAGAAAUCCACUUUGUUGAACUUCUGAUACAGAAGUAAAAGGAUGUUUUAUUUACCCCAAAAUAAAUGGAGGAAGAAUUUUCUCUCAUUCUUUAAUAUCGAAGCAGAGGAAGAAAAAAGAAAACCUUCCUUUCUGUUUAUGUCAGUGAAGAAUUAGAACUCUAAACUCAGGGAAGGAAGAUGUUCAGUCCCAUAAUAAAAAUCUUUCCCCUACUUUUUUAGCUUUUAGCAGCAUAAAUAAUCUGACAUAUUAUGAUUUAAAAUAUUUUAAAUGUAAUAUGCUGUAUUUACCCAAGUCUUCAUAGUGAUAGAGUAAGAAGAACCUUCAGAAGUGCAAAUCAUCAAGAAAAUCUAUUUUUCACAAGGUGUAUUGACAGUGGAUAAUCUUUUGAAUAAACAAAAGAACUCUAGUAUUAGCCAUACUAAAAGAAGCAACGCUAGAGAAGCUCUUACAGAAAGCUAAGGAAUGGUGUUUUCUCCAUUUCUGUGUAAAAGACUAGAGUACAAGUUGUUCACAUAAAGUUUAAUCAACAUUAAAAUCCUGAUGAUAUUCUGGUAGUGGGCAUUCACAUGUGAAACAAAAUGAAGUGAUGGAAAGGAGAUGAUAAAGGCUUAGGAAAAAUGACAGAAAGUGAAAGAAGGGUUCUUGUUGCCUUUUUUUUUAUCCAUAUUUUUAAUUUCUUACUGAAUUAAAAAAGUAAUACUGAGAAGUGGUGCAGAGAGUUCCUUGUCUGUAUGAAAUACAUGUGGGGGGGGUUAACUGUUUGGUUUUUUCUUUGCAUUUACUUUUCCAGUUGUAUGAAAAUUAAAUUAGCUUCUCUCUCUUCAAGUCCCCAGUGAUGCUGCUGCAAUUCCUUUAAUAGUUUUGCAGUAGCUCAGUGAUUAGGAUUUAGUGUAUUGUUCAGUUGGUCCAUAUGCAGCCAUAGAAUUCAGCUUCCCACAGCCUAAUAGUCUCUGUAGAAGUAGCAAGAAUAGAAAGCUGUAUUGUUUUUAAUUCGCGUUACCAGAGUGCCUGUGAGGCUUAAUCAGAGCAGCAUCCCAGUGGCUAGACAUUGUACAAACACAGAACAAAACCAGGCUUCCCGCAGAGCCUUUAUAAUCCAAGUUAAGACAAAAGACCAAAAAACAACAUGGAUGGAAAAAUAAAAUUAGUGUCAAUAUUUGUCUAGCUGAUUAGCAGUGGUUUCAGCACACCAUCAGUUUAAAUAUUGUCAUUUUCUUCUUUUGUGUGUGUUAUGAGCAGAGGAAGCUGGAGAGUGACAUUUGGAGGCUGGACAGUGAGGGAGCUGUAGGAAUCCAUAUUCCUGACCAGCCCUGUGUGCCAUCUAAACUCUAUUCCUGUCUGACCUCAUUCAGGAUGAGGUUCAAGCUUUAAGCAAGAUGCAGGUGGCUAUUGUUUUAAUAUCAGUCACUUCACUUCUCUCAAGUCCUACUUAUGCCUCCUGCCAGUGAUCUUGCCACUCUAUUGGCCUCUUCUCCAAAACAUGAGAGAAUGGACAGAUGUUUGUUUGAAAAUGGCAUAUAGAAACAAUCAAACCUAGUGCCGUAGACUCCACGGGAAUAGGGAUCAAGAGGUCCUACAUGACCUCUAAAGUAAAGACAAGGUAUGUACAUCUGAUGGAACAGUGAAAGGGCAUUAAUGAAGAAACUAAAGAAAUGGCAUAGUCAAACUAAUGUUUAAAUAUUUAGCUUGCAGUAGUACUUUGAAUAAGAAAAGUGGAAUUGCUUUGGCAAAGUCUGAGAAGACACUGUUGCAGUCAAGUGGCUAUACUGACAGCUUACAUGAGAUUCUUACAUGAAUGGGUGAAGAUGUCUGUAUCCUAGAGGUAGUAACAAGAAAGUUAUUGAAAUUUAGAGGACAGGACUCAGAAAUCAGAGUUUAGUAAGAUAAUGACCCUGGUUUUGCCACCCUGAAUGGUGUGUUAUGAAGGUGAGAAAUAAGGAAGGAUGUUUUAAAAGUAUGCAUUAAGUUUAAAAUAGGCUAGAUCUCCAAAAGGUGAUGUCAAUAGGCAUAAUUACUUCUUUUUGCUUGGAAAACUAGAGUCUAGUCUGGACUGGAAAAUCAACUUUGCAGGUUUUUCACAUAUAGAAGCUAGCUAAAAUAGUAUUUGUGGAAUAAAUCACCAACAGACAUAUUGCAGAGGGAAGAAA